rnacentral:rRNA from 1 species
UACAGAGGGUGCGAGCGUUAAUCGGAAUUACUGGGCGUAAAGCGUGCGUAGACGGCUAUCUAAGUCGGGUGUGAAAGCCCCGGGCUCAACCUGGGAAUUGCAUUCGAGACUGAAUAGCUAGGGUACGGUAGAGGGAAGCGGAAUUUCCGGUGUAGCGGUGAAAUGCGUAGAUAUCUGGAGGAACACCGGUGGCGAAGGCGGCAUCCUGGACCGGUAUUGACGCUGAGGCGCGAAAGCCAGGGGAGCAAACGGG